AGGACGAACGCUGGCGGCGUGCUUAACACAUGCAAGUCGAGCGGUAAGGCCUUUCGGGGUACACGAGCGGCGAACGGGUGAGUAACACGUGGGUGAUCUGCCCUGCACUUCGGGAUAAGCCUGGGAAACUGGGUCUAAUACCGGAUAUGACUUCAGGUUGCAUGACUUGGGGUGGAAAGAUUUAUCGGUGCAGGAUGGGCCCGCGGCCUAUCAGCUUGUUGGUGGGGUAAUGGCCUACCAAGGCGACGACGGGUAGCCGACCUGAGAGGGUGACCGGCCACACUGGGACUGAGACACGGCCCAGACUCCUACGGGAGGCAGCAGUGGGGAAUAUUGCACAAUGGGCGAAAGCCUGAUGCAGCGACGCCGCGUGAGGAUGACGGCUUCGGGUUGCAAACGUCUUUCAGCAGGACGAAGCGCAAGUGACGGUACCUGCAGAAGAAGCACCGGCUAACUACGUGCCAGCAGCCGC
rnacentral:rRNA from 1 species